UACGUAGGGUGCGAGCGUUGUCCGGAAUUAUUGGGCGUAAAGAGCUUGUAGGCGGUCUGUCGCGUCUGCUGUGAAAAUCCGGGGCUCAACCCCCGGGCCUGCAGUCGAUACGGGCAGACUAGAGUGCGGUAGGGGAGACUGGAAUUCCCCGUGUAGCGGUGAAAUGCGUAGAGAUGGGGGAGAACGCUCGUGGCGAAGGCGGCCAGCUAGACCAGUUCUGACACUGAGGCGCGAUAGCGUGGGGAGCAAACAGG
rnacentral:rRNA from 1 species